UCAGACCUUAUCAGACAUCAGAGAAUCCAUACGGGGGAGACACCCUACACAUGCUCUGAGUGUGGGAAAAGGUUCAGUCAGAGCUCUGCCCUGAGCACGCACAGGAGAAUCCACACAGGAGAGAAACUCUACACAUGCUCUGAGUGUGGGAAAAGCUUCAAGCAGAGCCCAAGCCUUAUUAGACAUCACAAAAUCCACCUGAGAGUGAACUGUUAUAAAUCACUUGACUAGGGCUGGACAAAGAUUUUUUUUUUUUGAAUCACAUUUGCUAAUUCCCACAUAGUGAUUUUUGCACCAUCUUCACCGUGGCGCCUCAGCUCCACCAGAUCAGUUGCCUGCUUCUGCCUUUUGCAGCUCUCCCUUCUUUGGGGUCAGUCCUAUGAUCUUUUCUAUCAACUCCUGUCCUUUUGAGUCAUAGGCAUGUGCGUCCCUCCCGCCAGGAAUGUUCAUCAGCUCCAAGUGGGAGAGAGAUUUUGGUCUCAACAAACUACACUGAGGCAAAAACUACCUGUGCCUUCCAUCCACUAGGACUGUUCAUGGUGUUAGUUGCUCAAGUUAGUGAUCUUGGUGUAAAAAGACAAUUAGAAUUGUAGUGCAGAUGCAGCCCAGGUGCAGUGGUUGGCAUUAGCUUUCCCCUUGACCUGACCUAACCUAAACUCCAUCACUUCCUAGUCUAAAUAAACCCUGAGCAUUACGGUUAUACUGUUCCCCCAUUUCAAAGCAAUUGUUAGUCAUCGAGUUCUCCCUUGGGGAACAAAUUAUUUCAUUCCCAGUUGCUCUGAUGUUGCUUCAGGUUGUGCUGGGGAGCAGAUAUUUUUGCUACUAUUUUCCUCACUUAAAAUGUAUUGAACUAUAACAAAGAGCAGGGACAGGGCAGGGAUAGGGAAAAAUGUCAUUUCACCCACUCUAACAACAGACAUAGUUAGGGUAAAUUAGAUGGAUUCCCUUUUUCCCCGUCACCAUCCCAAUCCCCCGGUUGUUUAAUUGUUCAGGUCAAUAUUUUUUCUAAAAGGCUAGGAAGAGGAUUCCCUAGUAAAUGACUUGUAACUCAGCAAAAUACCUAUGCAUUGGGCUCCCAAAGCAGUUGUGGCCCAGGCUCUGCAGGAUAUCGCUCCUGAAAGUAGCUCCUUCUUAAUCAACUGCAUGUUGCCUAUUUGGGAAAUGCAAUCCCUAUCUAGGUAGAGAUGGGGAAAAUGGAAGUGACGUUUCUGUUCAGUUCACCCUGAGAUGCUGCAAACGUGUAGAAAAUGGAAUCUGUGUUGAAUGUGAUAUAGUUGCAAAAAGAUACCUAUUUUUAAUAGAGACCUGACAUUUGUUGUCUUACAGGGAUACUAAACCACACUUGAAUUUAGUCCCUAAUUUAAAUCUGUGGUACCAGAUUAAAAAAUCAAAGGGCAUAUUUGGGGGAGUUAUACCUCACUGUCGCUACUGCUGUGUUGUGUGGUUGGUGAAGAAUUCUACGCCAGGGACUUGGAGUAAUUUUAUACUUAAGGUCAAAGAUUUGAUAAGGACUCAGGUAGAAAUUGCAGGAACUUAGUGGCUGAUUUUCACCUCAGAGAUGGAAGCUAUGGUGACCUGUGGCCCAGGUCAACUAUUUUUCGAACCCUGCUCCCUAGUUAAGUGGCAUUGAUCACACUCCUAAAGGAUGCCAUGAUUAAAUUGGGAACAACAGUCUUUUACCAUUUGUCUCCAAAGUUAGAUGAGGCACAGAGAGAAACAGCUGAUUCCUUCAGAGCCAUUCCAUGGCUAUGGGUCCCAAUCUGGCUGUCUUGUUGGAGAAGAAGCACUUCCAUGCUGGGCAAAUGAUGGUAGCCAAUGAGGGAAUGUAUCAGAUUCCAAGUUCAGACUGCGGGAUAGAUGAAUGCGGAGUCCAGAGAGAAAAAAAC